AAAAAAAGCCUGGAGAAUUAUUGUAUAUGCGGGGAGCACUAAAAAUAGUGCUCCCUUAGAAACAAAAAAUCAUUUUUUGUUAAUUUUAGGGAGGUGAGACCCUUGCAUUCAGAUAGAGGUGCAUGUGCACCAGGUGCACUGAAUAAUAUCUGGGAAAAAACUGAUAUGUAACAGCCAUUAUUUAAAACCUUUGCUCUAUAUCUGCCCUCUCUUUCUUUUUCUUCUCUCAGCCAUAUAAAUUUGAUUAGAUCAAUGUACUUUCUUUCAGAUAUGUGUCUGCCACAUGCAUUUUAUUCCCUUAUCAUGAAUAAAUGCAAAUGAUGUUCCACAACUUGCUGCUCUCAGACUGGCUUCUGGACCAGAUCGUUGUCUUCUUUGAUUAUCACCCUUUUCUUGACUAGAUUUUAAUUAUUUAUAGGUAUACUACAGAUGGGGGUACUAG
rnacentral:misc_RNA from 1 species